AAUCAACGCUGGCGGCGUGCCUAACACAUGCAAGUCGCACGAGAAAGGGCAGCAAUGCCUGAGUACAGUGGCGCACGGGUGAGUAACACGUGAAUGAUCUACCUCCGAGUGGGGAAGUAACUGAGAGAAAUACUUAGCUAAUACCGCAUAACACUUACGAGUCAAAGACAGCAAUGCGCUUGGAGAGGAGUUCGCGGCAGAUUAGUUAGNGGUC
rnacentral:rRNA from 1 species